rnacentral:rRNA from 1 species
UACGUAGGGGGCAAGCGUUGUCCGGAAUCAUUGGGCGUAAAGCGCGUGUAGGCGGCUCGGUAAGUCUGCUGUGAAAGUCCAGGGCUCAACCCUGGGAUGCCGGUGGAUACUGUCGAGCUCGAGCCCGGAAGAGGCGAGUGGAAUUCCUGGUGUAGCGGUGAAAUGCGCAGAUAUCAGGAAGAACACCCGUGGCGAAAGCGGCUCUCUGGAACGGUACUGACGCUGAGACGCGAAAGCGUGGGGAGCGAACAGG